GGCUACGGCCAUACCACGUUGAACCUACCGGUUCUCGUCCGAUCACCGAAGUCAAGCAACGUCGGGCGUGGUUAGUACUUAGAUGGGUGACCGCUUGGGAACACCACGUGCUGUAGGC
rnacentral:rRNA from 13 species